UCGUGCGAGGAGACAAAACGAGCGCCCCAGCCACACCCACGCCCGCGCCCCUUCGUUCUCCCUCUUCCUCGCGAGAGGCGGCGGCUGCUGCGCCUCCUCCUCGAUGCACCUCCGCCUCCCCUUCGGCCCCGCACACACCACCGCCGCGCGCCAUGGCGUUGCCAGGAGGAGCGCCCGCUCGCGCGCCCCCUUCCCCUCCUGCUAUUCCUCCCUCCGCAGCCGUCCUCCUCGUCCUCUUCUCUCCCCCAAUCCCCACGCCCCCUCUCUCCAAUCCCCUCAGAUCUCAUCCCUUCUCCUCUGCCACCCUAUUUGCUGGUCUCCUCCAUGGUGGGCGGACCAGGGAGAGGUGAAGGGACCGUGCCAUGGCUGACGAGGUGGAGCUCUACGUGAAGCAGACCGCCAUGGGCCCAUGGCUGAGGAGGUGGAGUAGACAUGAAGGAGCACGCGGGGAAGAUGACGAGCCAGGCCAUCUACAUCAGCCCCUCUGCCUCCACGACAUCCAUCUUCCUCAAGAAUGUUGGCCGGUUGAGCUCCCCCUUUUCUGGAGGAGAGAUGGCAGGGAGCUCGACCUCUAUUGACUCAUCCCCGGUACCAUGGCGUCCAGCUGUGACGGCACUCUCCCAGCCGGCCGGAGGGCUUGUGGCUCCAACAGAUCUGAUCUCCUCCGCCUGAGCUGCUGCUCCUCUGCUCCUGGGAUCUUCACCCCCACCGGCAGGUCGAUCUCCUCCUUCCCAACACUCUUUUACAUGUUUUAGAGGCACUAUGAUCCAACAGAUCGAGGGCAUUAGCUGCUUGGCACAAGCAGUCCAGAUUUUGUGAUUUGGCGCCAAACACGUGUUUGUUGUUAUGCCUAUGAGAAGAAAAUCAAUAUAUGUGCUUACUUGCUACUUAUCUCGCCUAAUCUGAUUGUACUGGUUUAUAUUUUCUGUAAUAAUAUACUCAUCAAUCAUAUUCAGUUGGCUAAACAGAAAAAAAUCAUAGUUUGUUUCAUCAUUGUAAGAACUAAUAAGUUUAGUAGUAUAAAUUAUUAACCUGUUGUAGUUGAGAAGGGAGGGAACCAGUGAGAAAAUGAAGAUGUCUACAAGCUUGGUUCCUGGCUGAGACAAGGUGAUCAAUUAACUAAGACAUGCUCUGUGUUUGGUUGGAGUUAUGCCCCCCUCUCUUAUUUUGUGCAGCUUACAGGAAAAACUCUGCUCGAUUAGGUCAUCAGCUUGUAUCGAUGAAGCUCGCCACUCUCAACCCAAUGAUGGUGUACGAGCUUGGGCUAGACACUGGAAGCAUGUACGGACAGAUGUUUGACUGGUAACUAAUCAGGACUUGAUGGCAAUGAAGCAACAUAGUCAGUACAUCUCUCUCUCUCUCUUUCUCUCUCUCUCUCUCUCUGAUAGGAUCAUCUUGAAACCAACUAAGCAAUCAUCUAUGCCUGAAGAAGUGCUCUGGGUAGCUCCAACUUGAAAUUUCAUAACAUGGCAAUCCUCAGCUAUUAUGGUGCAGCUGGAGACGGUGUCCGACGGCAUGGUGAACCUCAUGGUAUCUUCAUUUGCUCUGCAAGUCCCGAACGGGAAGGGCCAGGAGGUGCUAUGGAGUCAUACACGAUGAUAAAACUCUGUUUCAACCGUGGCAGGUUUCAGAAUUCAUAUUUCCAGUAGCCAACAUGGAACUGAUAGUUUGAACAUCCUGUAGGUGGCCCUUUGAACUCUGUGAGUGAACACUUAUGCUCUUUUUCUUCCUAUGAGUAGAUCGUAUUAGAUGUUUUUCUGAUUUUUUCUAGGAGUAAAAGAAAGAACCUUGCUCCCUGAUAGAGUGUAGCACAUAAUGCACGUGGGUGAAAACUAAAUACCAUUUUUUCUGUAAUUUAUAUGUGAAAUGUCUUUGUGCAGCUGUUUCUCAUUUUAUAUGUCAGCACUAAACGUGGGUGAAAACUAAAUACCAUUUUCUCAUUUUAUACCCUAAACGUUUCAGCACUUCUUUUUCUCUCUGGUUAGUUGCAACUGGUCAGGAUUAGCUAGACAUUUAAUGGUUCUCUAAUGAACAUAUACAAUGGAUAUUCAGUACAGCAUGUGUUUGGAAUUUCACUAAUAUUCAUAAUGUAGCGUUCUUUUAAUAUAUGUAUAUGCUCGAGAGCAAAUAGGAAGAGUAACCACACAGAGAUCCAUAUUGCAUAACUGAUUGGAUAGAAAAUAUUGACUGUGAUGCAUUAACUGAAUUUUCGCUUUCAAAUAGCAUGUGUUUUCAGUUUUACUAAUGUUGAUAGCAUACUAUUUUCAAAUGCAUGCUCGAUAUAUAGUACAGUAUGAAUUAGAGUUAUUAAGUUUUCCAUUGCUCUUAGGGAUACACGACUAUGAGCCUAUCAGACAGUGGGAUACAUACUUAUUUGUUUCUUUAUAGUAUACAAUUCUUCUCCAUGGUAAUUUAUAACUACUCUAAUAUAAUGCUAUCUGAAUAGUCAGCUUGGCUAUUACAAAGAAGUAAUUGUUUUUCUGAAUGCUCAAUCUGUACUGCUCCUGGAAGUGAAGAUUUUAAACACACAUUUUCCUAAUUACUUUGUGCUAGAGAUUAGUAGUGUACCUUUAUGAUAGUAUCCCACUUGAUCCUAUUUUAACUCAUGCAACUAUAUUUGUAUAAGGUGUGAUCCUGUGACAUAUUUACCUGGAACUAGAACCUCAUGCAUAGUUAGAAGAAAUAUAUAAUCAUAUUCUUUUGUCACAGGAACGAUUACCUCAUGCAUAGUUAGAAGAAAUAUAUAAUCAUAUUGUUUUGCAAUACCACUAUAAAAAAUCUUGAUAUAACUUCUACCGAACCACUUUGUAGAGACUAUCUGUAUUGUAUGGAUACUUAGGAUCCGAGAGGCAAAUAUGUUUGUAUAAUUCUGUCAGGCUAAAGAUGGCUCUUGGUUGACGGUGCAAUUUUAUUGUCGCAUUGAGAUCCCUGAGCUACAACAAGCUGGGGCCAAGGCCGGAGGAAGAAACAAGGUUCUUCUUAUGGCUGCUCCUUCAAAACGGACUUUGGACUGCCGAUUGUUUGAGGAACAGGAGAUGGAAUCACAACAAUAACUGCUGCCUGUGUGGCCAAGCUCUCGAAGAUGCCAAUCAUCUCUUCCUUUCGUGCCCUUUUUUGAAGGAGGUCUAUUGUAUAGUGUUGUCCACUGAGCUAUGUCAGUUCAGGCUGAACUUAUUGAAGGUUCUACUCUGGUGGAACAAUUUGCAAAGGGAUGUACCUGCUAAUUGGAGAAAGGAGUUUGCACUUAUUCCUUGUGGAUCAUUUGGAAUGAAAGGAACUGCUGUAUUUUUCAGCAAGAGUUUCUUGCCCACCUUGGUUGCGGUCAGGAUCAGAGAAGAGCUUGACUUAUUUAGUGUAGCGCCUAGGGUUUAAUUUCUUUUCAUUGACCCCCUUUUUUGUUGCUUGGCCUAGGCCUGUGUAGAUAACUUUGUUCUCUCUCUCUCUUCUCUAUGAAGUAUAAAGCGGUGCUCCUGCUGUUAAGGUAAAAAGGCAUUACAUCCAACAUA